GAUGAACGCUGGCGGCGUGCCUAAUACAUGCAAGUCGAGCGAACAGACGAGGAGCUUGCUCCUCUGACGUUAGCGGCGGACGGGUGAGUAACACGUGGAUAACCUACCUAUAAGACUGGGAUAACUUCGGGAAACCGGAGCUAAUACCGGAUAAUAUAUUGAACCGCAUGGUUCAAUAGUGAAAGACGGUUUUGCUGUCACUUAUAGAUGGAUCCGCGCCGCAUUAGCUAGUUGGUAAGGUAACGGCUUACCAAGGCAACGAUGCGUAGCCGACCUGAGAGGUUGAUCGGCCACACUGGAACUGAGACACGGUCCAGACUCCUACGGGAGGCAGCAGUAGGGAAUCUUCCGCAAUGGGCGAAAGCCUGACGGAGCAACGCCGCGUGAAUGAUGAAGGUCUUCGGAUCGUAAAACUCUGUUAUUAGGGAAGAACAAAUGUGUAAGUAACUAUGCACGUCUUGACGGUACCUAAUCAGAAAGCCACGGCUAACUACGUG
rnacentral:rRNA from 1 species